AUUCGUAUUCGGAUGUGUGUACGCGGCGCAGGUGUGCUGAAUUAUGUGUAUUUUUUUUUUAUUUUUUUUUUUCUUAAUCCACUACUUUUCUACCAGAAAUCUUGCUACAAUCGAAAAUUUUAUAGGAACUUUCUUGUAGGGUUUUUAAUCUAGUUGUUGUAUCGAAAGGUCAUUUUUUUAUUUUUCAACUAGCUUUCUAAAUAAAUAAAAAAAAAAAAACCCUUUACUCAGGAAUCAUUAUUCGUCGGAAACGGUUUAUCGUUUACUACAGAUAUAAAUGAAAUUGGUCCGGACAUCGAGUAUCCUAACUUGUCUUUCAACUUUCCGAACCUCUUAAAACACUGCAAGCUCAACUAACA